GUGUGCCUACGGGGGGCAGCAGUAGGGAAUCUUCCACAAUGGGCGGAAGCCUGAUGGAGCAACGCCGCGUGGGAGAAGAAGGUCUUCGGAUCGUAAAACCCUGUUGUUAGAGAAGAAAGUGCGUGAGAGUAACUGUUCACGUUUCGACGGUAUCUAACCAGAAAGCCACGGCUAACUACGUGCCAGCAGCCGCGGUAAUACGUAGGUGGCAAGCGUUAUCCGGAUUUAUUGGGCGUAAAGCGAGUGCAGGAGGUUCAAAAAGGCUGAUGUGAAAGGCUUCGGCUCAACCGG
rnacentral:rRNA from 1 species